CUCCACAUCUGUGUGCUUGCUUAAAGGACCCAACUAUUCCUCCUGAAAUAAUUAGCAAGUGUUCUAGUGACACAGCACAGCAUUUAGAUGAAAUGAAGAAGAGGGGACUGAGUCUGAGAGGGACCAGGAGGAGGAAGAUGAUGGGUCUCUUGUGCACCUGCUGCUGAGUCAGGUGUCAUUAUGGCUUCACAGCAGGGCCCAGAUCAGCCCCAUGGCCAACCUCCUGGAAGGUCCACAGCUCUGCUGAGCCUGGCCCAGGACAGACUUCAGGUCAGCGAGGUUUGGGACAGUAGCAUGAGGUCAAUUUCCAGGAAGGUGACUGUGAUCACAGGGCUUGAAGGCUGGGGCUGAUUUUCUAACCCCAGAUCCUGCUUCCCCUUUCUCCUGUUGCCUGUGCUGCCCCCACAGCUGGUUUGAGUGACAUCUCUCCAGGAGGAGUCCCAGAGGAUGUUAAUUUGCAUAAACACCAAACACUGACCCCAAAAGCCUGAGAGGGAAUAAGAGAGGCCUGGGGAGCCCAGCUGUGCUGUGGGCCCGGGAGGAAGAGCUCUGGGUGUCUCACGAUGGCCUGGACUUCCCUCCUGCUCCCUCUCCUCACUCUCUGCACAGGCUCUGAUGCGUCCUAUGAGCUGACACAGCCACCCUCCGUGUCAGUGUCACCAGGACUGACGGCCAGGAUCACUUGCUCUGGAGAUGCAUUGCCAAAAAAAUAUGCUUAUUGGUACCAGCAGAAGCCAGGGCAGAUCCCUGUGCUGGUGAUAUAUAAAGACAGCGAAAGACCCUCAGGGAUCCCUGAGCGAUUCUCUGGCUCCAGCUCGGGGACAACUGCCACCUUGACCAUCAGUGGGGCCCAGGCAGAGGAUGAGGCUGACUAUUACUGCUUCUCAGCAGACAGCAGUGGUACUUAUCCCACAGUGACACAGACAGAAAGCCUUUCUGCUCUUGGCCCCAAAACAACAGGUGACACGGUUCUCAGACCCAUGAUUUACGGUGUCAGUAUUCAGGUCUCAGGGGUCCCUGUGGCUUCUCUGGCUCCAAAUCUGGAAGCACAGGCUCCAUGA